AGAUGAUGAUAUCGCCCACCCUCACCGGAAGAGGUUGAGGCCCUUGGAGUUACCAAGGCCUCCACCAUUACAAUCCAUGGUGGGUAAACAGAAUGGUGACCAGCUUCCAAAAAGGAAACAGAAAAGAAAACAUAAAUCACUCAAUGGCGGAAAAAGUGCACACAGGCCACAGACACCUGCAUUUAAUUUGCAUGACAAUUCAUCAGAAGAUGAUGAUAUUGCCCACCCUCACCAUAAGAGGUCAAGGCCCUUGGAGUUACAAGAGGCUCCACCAU